rnacentral:rRNA from 1 species
UACGUAGGGUGCAAGCGUUGUCCGGAAUUAUUGGGCGUAAAGAGCUCGUAGGCGGCGUGUCACGUCGGUUGUGAAAGCCCGGGGCUUAACUCCGGGUCUGCAGUCGAUACGGGCAGGCUAGAGUUCGGUAGGGGAGAUCGGAAUUCCUGGUGUAGCGGUGAAAUGCGCAGACAUCAGGAGGAACACCGGUGGCGAAAGCGGCUUCCUGGCCGAGUACUGACGCUGAGGCACGAAAGCGUGGGGAGCGAACGGG